AAGGCUUCAGCUUUCUUAGAGACUUUUGCUUGCACAUUUUCCAAUGUGUUUGGCGAUCUUUAACUGAAGCCGAGAUGUGCAUUCCCCUCGCUAUCCAAUGUGGCAAUUUGAUGCUGUAAUUGGACGUCGGGGAAUAAAAUGU